rnacentral:rasiRNA from 1 species
UCGAACGAUAAACGGUGCUAACC